UAAGGAAUAUUGCGCAAUGGGCGACAGCCUGACGCAGCGACGCCGCGUGGGGGAUGAAGGUCUUCGGAUUGUAAACCCCUUUCGGCAGGGAAGAUGGAACGGGUAACCGUUCGGACGGUACCUGCAGAAGCAGCCACGGCUAACUUCGUGCCAGCAGCCGCGGUAAUACGAAGGUGGCAAGCGUUGUUCGGAUUUACUGGGCGUACAGGGAGCGUAGGCGGUUGGGUAAGCCCUCCGUGAAAUCUCCGGGCCUAACCCGGAAAGUGCGGAGGGGACUGCUCGGCUAGAGGAUGGGAGAGGAGCGCGGAAUUCCCGGUGUAGCGGUGAAAUGCGUAGAGAUCGGGAGGAAGGCCGGUGGCGAAGGCGGCGCUCUGGAACAUAUCUGACGCUGAGGCUCGAAAGCGUGGGGAGCAAACAGGAUUAGAUACCCCUGUAGUCCCUGAGCGGGCUGGCAAGGCGCAU
rnacentral:rRNA from 1 species